rnacentral:rRNA from 2 species
AGCCUGAUGCAGCGACGCCGCGUGAGGGAUGACGGCCUUCGGGUUGUAAACCUCUUUCAGCAGGGACGAAGCGCAAGUGACGGUACCUGCAGAAGAAGCACCGGCCAACUACGUGCCAGCAGCCGCGGUAAUACGUAGGGUGCGAGCGUUGUCCGGAAUUACUGGGCGUAAAGAGCUCGUAGGCGGUUUGUCGCGUCGUCUGUGAAAACCCGCAGCUCAACUGCGGGCUUGCAGGCGAUACGGGCAGACUCGAGUACUGCAGGGGAGACUGGAAUUCCUGGUGUAGCGGUGAAAUGCGCAGAUAUCAGGAGGAACACCGGUGGCGAAGGCGGGUCUCUGGGCAGUAACUGACGCUGAGGAGCGAAAGCGUGGGUAGCGAACAGGAUUAGAUACCCUGGUAGUCCACGCCGUAAACGGUGGGCGCUAGGUGUGGGUGUCCUUCCACGGGAUCCGUGCCGUAGCCAACGCAUUAAGCGCCCCGCCUGGG